CACUCCUGCGGGAGGCAGCAGUGGGGAAUUUUGGACAAUGGGCGAAAGCCUGAUCCAGCAAUGCCGCGUGAGUGAAGAAGGCCUUCGGGUUGUAAAGCUCUUUUGUCAGGGAAGAAACGGUGAGAGCUAAUAUCUUUUGCUAAUGACGGUACCUGAAGAAUAAGCACCGGCUAACUACGUGCCAGCAGCCGCGGUAAUACGUAGGGUGCAAGCGUUAAUCGGAAUUACUGGGCGUAAAGCGUGCGCAGGCGGUUUUGUAAGUCUGAUGUGAAAUCCCCGGGCUCAACCUGGGAAUUGCAUUGGAGACUGCAAGGCUAGAAUCUGGCAGAGGGGGGUAGAAUUCCACGUGUAGCAGUGAAAUGCGUAGAUAUGUGGAGGAACACCGAUGGCGAAGGCAGCCCCCUGGGUCAAGAUUGACGCUCAUGCACGAAAGCGUGGGGAGCAAACAGGAUUAGAAACCCCUGUAGUCCCAUGA
rnacentral:rRNA from 1 species